AUUUUUGUCUGAACGACAAGUGGAAGAAGGUUCUGUACUUAGCACAGCCCGCGCCUACGGUCAUUACCGCCUCCAGGAACAGGACGCCCACUGAGUAACUGCCCUGAACCGUCCGGAACCCAGAGGAGAGGGCUGGGAACACAGAGGUUUAAACAGAGAAAGCUCUAGAAAGAAAUGCAUUCCAAGGCCACAGGCUAUUUAUAACGUGAGCAGAUGGCGCCCCCUAGUGUUGGGAUGACCCUCAGCAGCCGGAGCUGGACUGAGCUCGGGCGUGACCUUGAGCGCUGGGAAGCAUUGUCCACGACAGCCAGGACUCAGAAACAACAUAAAUAUGCUUCGGGGGACAAAGGGGGGUGAAGAAAAUUGGCGCACACACACACAACAGAUGGAAUGCCUCUUCCGAUGACCUGGACGGAUCACUAAAUGAAAUAAUAGAUCAGAUGGACAAGGAAGGAACCAUACGAUUUCACUUGCAUGUGGGGCGGAAAACUGAAAGCAGCAAAUAAAAACACAAACUCACAGCUGGUCCCCCGGGACAGUUUGCCUCUGGGAUCCAGCCUGUCCUCUCCGCGCUUUGCCUGCAGCGAGAUUUCAGCAGGUGCCUGAAGCCCCUCCUGUGCUCCUCUGAUCGUCCAAACCACCCAGAGGUUUUGUGAUUCGGUUUCACAUAGAGUGGAAGGUCUAUGAAGGCAAGCACCUUGUCUUGCACCUGCUGUAUCUUC